rnacentral:rRNA from 1 species
GCUUAGCCGUUAACAAAAACAGUAUGAACCACAACACUGUUCGCCAGAGAACUACAAGCAAAAGCUCAAAACUCCAAGGACUUGGCGGUGCUCCACAUCACCCUAGAGGAGCCUGUCCUAUAAUCGAUACCCCCCGAUCUACCUCACCACUUUUUGAAACUCAGCCUAUAUACCGCCGUCGUCAGCCUACCUUAUGAAAGAGAUACAGUAAGCAAAAUAGUCACCAACUAAAACGUCAGGUCAAGGUGUAGCACAUAAAGUGGAAGAGAUGGGCUACACUCUCUCCCCCAGAGAAUACGAACAGCACCAAUGAAACACUGCUCAAAGGUGGAUUUAGUAGUAAGAUAGACAAGAGAGCCUAUCUUAAACCAGCCCUGGAGCGCGC